GACGAACGCUGGCGGCGUGCCUAAUACAUGCAAGUAGAACGCUGAAGGAGGAGCUUGCUUCUCUGGAUGAGUUGCGAACGGGUGAGUAACGCGUAGGUAACCUGCCUGGUAGCGGGGGAUAACUAUUGGAAACGAUAGCUAAUACCGCAUAAUAGUAGAUGUUGCAUGACAUUUGCUUAAAAGGUGCAAUUGCAUCACUACCAGAUGGACCUGCGUUGUAUUAGCUAGUUGGUGAGGUAACGGCUCACCAAGGCGACGAUACAUAGCCGACCUGAGAGGGGGAUCGGCCACACUGGGACUGAGACACGGCCCAGACUCCUACGGGAGGCAGCAGUAGGGAAUCUUCGGCAAUGGACGGAAGUCUGACCGAGCAACGCCGCGUGAGUGAAGAAGGUUUUCGGAUCGUAAAGCUCUGUUGUAAGAGAAGAACGAGUGUGAGAGUGGAAAGUUCACACUGUGACGGUAGCUUACCAGAAAGGGACGGCUAACUACGUG
rnacentral:rRNA from 1 species